GAUGAACGCUGGCGGCGUGCCUAAUACAUGCAAGUCGAGCGAACAGACGAGGAGCUUGCUCCUCUGACGUUAGCGGCGGACGGGUGAGUAACACGUGGAUAACCUACCUAUAAGACUGGGAUAACUUCGGGAAACCGGAGCUAAUACCGGAUAAUAUAUUGAACAGCAUGGUUCAAUAGUGAAAGACGGUUUUGCUGUCACUUAUAGAUGGAUCCGCGCCGCAUUAGCUAGUUGGUAAGGUAACGGCUUACCAAGGCAACGAUGCGUAGCCGACCUGUGGGGGUGAUCGGCCACACUGGAACUGAGACGCGGUCCAGACUCCUACGAGGGGCAGCAGUAGGGAUUCUUCCGCAAUGGGCGAAAGCCUGACGGAGCAACGCCGCGUGAUUGAUGAAGGUCUUCGGAUCGUAAAACUCUGUUAUUAGGGAAGAACAAAUGUGUAAGUAACUAUGCACGUCUUGACGGUACCUAAUCAGAAAGCCACGGCUAACUACGUG
rnacentral:rRNA from 1 species